rnacentral:rRNA from 1 species
AGAGUUUGAUCCUGGCUCAGAACGAACGCUGGCGGCAGGCCUAACACAUGCAAGUCGAACGGACUCUUCGGAGUUAGUGGCGGACGGGUGAGGAACACGUGGGAACAUACCCUUUGGUAAGGAAUAACUCGCCGAAAGGCGUGCUAAUACCGGAUGAUGUGGUUUACCUUCGGGCCUCGUGCUAUUGGAUGAGCCUGCGUUAGAUUAGCUAGUUGGUAGGGUAAAGGCCUACCAAGGCGACGAUCUAUAGCUGGUCUGAGAGGAUGAUCAGCCACACUGGAACUGAGACACGGUCCAGACUCCUACGGGAGGCAGCAGUGGGGAAUAUUGCACAAUGGGCGCAAGCCUGAUGCAGCCAUGCCGCGUGUGUGAAGAAGGCCUUCGGGUUGUAAAGCACUUUUAAGCAGGGAGGAAGGCCUUAAGGUUAAUAGCCUUGAGGAUUGACGUUACCUGCAGAAUAAGCACCGGCUAACUCCGUGCCAGCAGCCGCGGUAAUACGGAGGGUGCAAGCGUUAAUCGGAAUUACUGGGCGUAAAGCGCGCGUAGGCGGUUUGCUAAGCCAGAUGUGAAAGCCCCGGGCUCAACCUGGGAACUGCAUUUGGAACUGGCAGGCUAGAGUACGGUAGAGGGUGGUAGAAUUUCCUGUGUAGCGGUGAAAUGCGUAGAUAUAGGAAGGAAUACCAGUGGCGAAGGCGGCCACCUGGACUGAUACUGACGCUGAGGUGCGAAAGCGUGGGAGCGAACAGGAUUAGAUACCCUGGUAGUCCACGCCGUAAACGAUGUCAACUAGCCGUAGGGAUCCUUGAGGUCUUUGUGGCGCAGCUAACGCAAUAAGUUGACCGCCUGGGGAGUACGGCCGCAAGGUUAAAACUCAAAUGAAUUGACGGGGGCCCGCACAAGCGGUGGAGCAUGUGGUUUAAUUCGAUGCAACGCGAAGAACCUUACCUGGUCUUGACAUCCUUGGAAUUUCGCAGAAACGUGAAAGUGCCUUCGGGAGCCAAGAGACAGGUGCUGCAUGGCUGUCGUCAGCUCGUGUUGUGAAAUGUUGGGUUAAGUCCCGCAACGAGCGCAACCCUUAUCCUUACUUGCCAGCGGGUUAUCCGGGAACUUUAGGGAGACUGCCGGUGAUAAACCGGAGGAAGGUGGGGACGACGUCAAGUCAUCAUGGCCCUUACGGGAUGGGCUACACACGUGCUACAAUGGCAGAUACAAAGGGUUGCUAACCAGCGAUGGUAUGCGAAUCUCAUAAAGUCUGUCGUAGUCCGGAUCGGAGUCUGCAACUCGACUCCGUGAAGUUGGAAUCGCUAGUAAUCGUGGAUCAGAAUGCCACGGUGAAUACGUUCCCGGGCCUUGUACACACCGCCCGUCACACCAUGGGAGUGGGCUGCACCAGAAGUCAUUAGCUUAACCUUCGGGAUGGCGAUGACCACGGUGUGAUUCAUGACUGGGGUGAAGUCGUAACAAGGUAAAC